rnacentral:rRNA from 1 species
AGAGUUUGAUCCUGGCUCAGGAUGAACGCUGGCGUCGUGCCUAAUCACAUGCAAGUCGAGCGAGAAGGUAGAGAGUGAUUCUUCGGAAGAGCGAUCUACCAGACAGCGGCGGACGGGUGAGUAACGCGUGGGUAACCUGCCUUAUACUGGGGGAUAACAUUCUGAAAAGGAUGCUAAUACCGCAUAAGCGCACAGCAUCGCAUGAUGCCGUGUGAAAAACUCCGGUGGUAUAAGAUGGACCCGCGUCUGAUUAGCUAGUUGGUGAGAUAAUAGCUCACCAAGGCAACGAUCAGUAGCCGACCUGAGAGGGUGAUCGGCCACAUUGGGACUGAGACACGGCCCAAACUCCUACGGGAGGCAGCAGUGGGGAAUAUUGCACAAUGGGGGAAACCCUGAUGCAGCGACGCCGCGUGAAGGAUGAAGGAUUUCGGUUCGUAAACUUCUAUCAGCAGGGAAGAAAAUGACUGUACCUGACUAAG